GAAAGCGUCCAUUUCUGCGCGCGUCCAACGAUGGAGAAAGGUAACCAGUGCGUCGGAAUAAACGAGUGAAGGAGCGACACGGUGGCUAUGCCUCCGAUCGUCGACAGAUCCUCCGCGGUAAAAGUGUCCAUUCUUCUUUUCUCGGGUAAAAAAAAUAAAACCGUAAAUCGAAAAAAAAAGAUCUGCGAAUUGCAAGCGGAAAGAACAGUAGCUCGAUCUGA
rnacentral:lncRNA from 1 species